rnacentral:rRNA from 1 species
CAACGAAGCUGGCGACCGGCGCACGGGUGAGUAACACGUAUCCAACCUGCCUCAUACUCGGGGAUAGCCUUUCGAAAGAAAGAUUAAUAUCCGAUAGCAUAUAUUUCCCGCAUGGGUUUUAUAUUAAAGAAAUUCGGUAUGAGAUGGGGAUGCGUUCCAUUAGUUUGUUGGGGGGUAACGGCCCACCAAGACUACGAUGGAUAGGGGUUCUGAGAGGAAGGUCCCCCACAUUGGAACUGAGACACGGUCCAA